rnacentral:rRNA from 1 species
UACUGAAGGUGCAAGCGUUAAUCGGAAUUACUGGGCGUAAAGCGCGCGUAGGCGGCUUGGUCAGUGAGGUGUGAAAUCCCCGGGCUCAACCUGGGAACUGCAUCUCAUACUGCCAAGCUAGAGUAUGGGAGAGGGUUGUGGAAUUCCACGUGUAGCGGUGAAAUGCGUAGAUAUGUGGAGGAACAUCAGUGGCGAAGGCGGCAGCCUGGCCCAAUACUGACGCUGAGGUGCGAAAGCGUGGGGAGCAAACAGG